AUGUGGAUGGAUGGAGGUGCAGCGGAGGGUGAAGGAGUAGGAGCCGGAUCUGGCGGCUCCUCGCCACGCUUGAGGACCGGACCGCCUCUGUCACAAUUAACUACUUGGGAUUCUCCUUCGUUAGUGAAUGGGAGGAAGGAGAAGAUUCCCUCCGGCCUCCUAGUCCCCUUGGUGGCGCACCUCAAGGCAACCCAGGAGCAGAUUGCCAAGGGAGGCUACACCAUCCUCCUCCAGCCUAAUUUGGAUUCUGGAGGCCGGUGCACCAUUGUUCACCAAGGGCACCAUUCAGAGGUUCAUCGUCUACUUGUGAAUCGUUCGUCCAGCACAUCGGAGGUCCUGGAGCAGAUGACAACCAUUGAGUCCAAGAUACUGCAGCUCGAGGAGACCAUCGCCAUCCAGAGCAAUGAAAUCUUCACAAUAUCAGCAAAAAUUCUUCAGCAAUUAUUAUUUGUAGCUGAAAAUCCACUUCUGAUUAUGCAAUACAUCCUCUCCAGUCUCCACCUCUGCGUGUUGAUGUCAAAUCCCUUCUCCAAGGACAAAAAGGUCCAAGCAUUGGAUACUGUUACGGCUAGGUGUGUAGCCGCUGUGGAUAGCUUUGACCAAAAGCUUGAGCCUGGGAUUGAGGCGCAUCAGAGAAAAUUAGAACUAUUGAUGCAUGUUCAAGAAGACAGGAAAGUUGAGUAUGGACAGAUGAUGCAUGCACGUUCCAUGGUUUGCAUGCAUAAGUGGAAGGAGAAUCAAUCAUACCCAGGGAUUUACGUGGAUAGUAAUUUGAAGCAUCUAGCAAAGAGCACGUACAAGGAAAACUACUACUUUGCAUGCCCACGUCAACCAGAAAGAGAUAGAAAUCAGAAAGAAGUCCAUGGUUGCUACUACUUCGAAAGAGAUAUAAAGUUAGGAAUGUUUGAGUCGUCCAACUUGCAGGUUAAGAUAGGUCAUUUGUUAUUUAAGGUCUGGUCGGUGCAUCAUGUAAAGCAGAAAUUGUUUUUGCGCGUGAGUAUCAUCGUCGAGAUUGAUUUUCUCGUGUUGGGCCUGAGUCAGACUAUGGUUGAUGCUUUGAACCUGCCGUUGAUAGAACAUCCAGAACCGUAUGAGCUUUGGUGGAAGGACAAGUUUGUCAAGAUCAUGCAUCGCGUCGAGGGUGGACAAUUCGUACCACUUGAUUCUUACACAUUAGAGAAGUAUAUGGCUGAUCGCAAGAAGCGGGAUACUGCUCAAGCUGCAUUAGAAGUAAAGAAGAAGAAGGUUGAGGUUGCUGAAAUUUCCACUGUCGCUAUUCAGUCUAGAAAAAAAAUAUUGUUGAAGAGAUCAGCUCAAAAUCGAGGACGAUUUUGUUUCAAGAGGGAGAGGAUGAUAAAGCCACUGCUAACGUCGGUAUUUUCGAAACUUCGAAGAAGGUGUGUAGCCGCUGUGGAUAGCUUUGACCAAAAGCUUGAGCCUGGGAUUGAGGCGCAUCAGAGAAAAUUAGAACUAUUGAUGCAUGUUCAAGAAGACAGGAAAGUUGAGUAUGGACAGAUGAUGCAUGCACGUUCCAUGGUUUGCAUGCAUAAGUGGAAGGAGAAUCAAUCAUACCCAGGGAUUUACGUGGAUAGUAAUUUGAAGCAUCUAGCAAAGAGCACGUACAAGGAAAACUACUACUUUGCAUGCCCACGUCAACCAGAAAGAGAUAGAAAUCAGAAAGAAGUCCAUGGUUGCUACUACUUCGGAAGAGAUAUAAAGUUAGGAAUGUUUGAGUCGUCCAACUUGCAGGUCAAGAUAGGUCAUUUGUUAUUUAAGGUCUGGUCGGUGCAUCAUGUAAAGCAGAAAUUGUUUUUGCGCGUGAGUAUCAUCGUCGAGAUUGAUUUUCUCGUGCUGGGCCGUAAGGUUCAAACCCUCUAUUUUUCGUGCAUAUCGCGUGCACGGGUGAGAGGUUACUGCUGCUGA
rnacentral:rRNA from 1 species